CUGCUCAGCAAAUCCUCACUUCCAUUUCUGAUUUAGAAUUUUUUAAAACAAUACGCAACAUGGGCCUUUAAACAAAUGCAGCUAGAUUGCAAUUUAUCUGAAUGCGGAUUAAUGCAAUGUAGAGAACAAGACAUUUCAUAACACAAGAAAGAGGCGUAAGACUGGGAGGACAAGUCAAUAUUAUGAAUUCUCAGAACUGGAACAGCAAGCAUUGGAAAUCAUGGAGCCUCCAGAGCUGAUAGAACAGGAUAUUUUGAAGCCAUGGGCUUCUCUGAACACAGUCCCUGACUAUCACCAUGAGGCCCCACAAUCCAGGGAUGCUAGAAGGAGCAAGUUUUGGAGUAUGAAUAACCUUCCUCAUCCCACAGAUUAUGUUCUUAACGUACUAUUGAGCAUUUUUUAUUUUGCUGGAUUCUUUAAAUAAACUAAAGACUAGAAAUGUAUGUUGAAGAUAGUAAGGAGUGAACAGAACCUUCUGCUAUUUUAAGGGAGGCAUAAACCUGUUUCAGACAACUGGUGGAAGAUUCACACUUUCAUUCACCUAUCAUCCCACAGGCUCAUUGGUCUUAAAACUCCACAGAUUGUGGCUAUCAAAUUAUUCAAUAAUAUGAUCAUGUAAAUCCUUUCCCAACUAAAGCAUCCCUGUAUCAGAAACAGUUUGAAAUUGAUAAAAACCUUUUUCAUACUCUGUCUUACCAUUUGAACCAUGACAGAUUAAUUCACCAUUGCAACACAAUGGAGAAAUAUCCUUUGCCUGGAGCCUCUCCACUAAUAUAGUCAAGGGUAAUCUGUAGCUUUAAAAAACUGUAAUGUAACUGUUUUAAUUUGGUAAAAUGCUAUUGCAAUCCUGAAGCAGGAUAUUGGGUUUCAAUUGAUAUUUUUAUUUAAGUAUUAUGGUGAAAAUUAGAUCCAUCUAGUAACUGUAAUCUCUCAAACCAAACCUUUAUCAAAUAGCUAUUGAUUCCAUUCUUAUGCAAAAUAUACUGCUGCAGGCUGCACUUUAAAAGCAUUUUCCAACACAACAGUUUGAAAUGGUUUAGAUCAGCCCUUUCCAGAUGUAAGGCAAGAGCUGAGCUGAAUCUGAGAAAGUACACAUGUUUGUUUGCUAUAGUUGCCUAAGCUUAUAAAAUGUUAUCUGCCACAAAAUAUUAUAGCAAUAAAAUGUUCUGAUGUGUAAA